rnacentral:rRNA from 1 species
AAUGAACGUUGGCGGCGUGGAUUAGGCAUGCAAGUCGAACGCCCCGCAAGGGGAGUGGCGCAAGGGUGAGUAAGGCGACGGUAACCAACCCCGUGAUUGGGAAUAGCCGAGGGAAACUUCGGGUAAUACCCAGCGAUGUUGAGUGGUGGCAUCACCGUUCAACCAAAGAUUCAUCGUCGCGGGACGGGCCGUUGUGGUAUUAGCUUGUUGGUGAGGUAACGGCUCACCAAGGCGGCGAUGCCUACCGGGUGUGCGAGCAUGACCCGGCACACUGGGACUGAGACACUGCCCAGACUCCUACGGGAGGCUGCAGUCGAGAAUCUUCGGCAAUGGGCUCACGCCUGACCGAGCGACGCCGCGUGGAGGAUGAAGGCCUUCGGGUUGUAAACUCCUGUCGAGGGGGAGGAAGCUUCGGUUGACCGAUCCCUGGAGGAAGGACGGGCUAAGUUCGUGCCAGCCGCCGCAGUAAAAC